UCCCUGGAGGACUAGUGGUUAGGCCUCGGUGCUCUCACCGCCGUGGCCUGGGUUCGAUUCCCGGCCAGGGAA
rnacentral:tRNA from 1 species